rnacentral:rRNA from 1 species
AGAUUGAACGCUGGCGGCAUGCCUUACACAUGCAAGUCGAACGGUAGAGUAGCAAUACUCGAGAGUGGCGAACGGGUGAGUAAUAUAUCGGGACGUGCCCAGUCGUGGGGGAUAACGUAGAGAAAUUUACGCUAAUACCGCAUACGAUCUAAGGAUGAAAGCGGGGGAUUCGCAAGAACCUUGCGCGAUUGGAGCGGCUGAUAUCAGAUUAGGUUGUUGGUGAGGUAAAAGCUCACCAAGCCGACGAUCUGUAGCUGGUUUGAGAGAACGACCAGCCACACUGGGACUGAGACACGGCCCAGACUCCUACGGGAGCAGCAGUGGGGAAUAUUGCACAAUGGGCGAAAGCCUGACGCAGCGACGCCGCGUGAGGA